GAUGAACGCUAGCUACAGGCUUAACACAUGCAAGUCGAGGGGCAGCAUGGUCUUAGCUUGCUAAGGCCGAUGGCGACCGGCGCACGGGUGAGUAACACGUAUCCAACCUGCCUUCUACUCUUGGACAGCCUUCUGAAAGGAAGCUUAAUACAAGAUGGCAUCAUGAGUCCGCAUGUUCACAUGAUUAAAGGUAUUCCGGUAGACGAUGGGGAUGCGUUCCAUUAGAUAGUAGGCGGGGUAACGGCCCACCUAGGCUUCGAUGGAUAGGGGUUCUGAGAGGAAGGUCCCCCACAUUGGAACUGGGCCAAGGUCCAAACUCACACGGGAGGCAGCAGUGAGGAAUAUUGGUGUAUGGGCGCAGGCCUGAACCAGCCAAGUAGCGUGAAGGAUGACUGCCCUAUGGGUUGUAAACUUCUUUUAUAAAGGAAUAAAGUCGGGUAUGUAUACCAGUUUGCAUGUACUUGAUGAAUAAGGAUCGGCUAACUCCGUG
rnacentral:rRNA from 1 species